AUUUAUAUAGUUUAAUAAAAACCUUACAUUUUCACUGUAAAAAUAAAAAAUUUUUUUUUAUAAAUU
rnacentral:tRNA from 1 species